rnacentral:rRNA from 1 species
AUACGGGGGGUGCAAGCGUUAAUCGGAAUUACUGGGCGUAAAGCGCGCGUAGGCGGUUUGCUCAGUCGGAUGUGAAAGCCCAGGGCUCAACCUUGGAACUGCAUACGAUACUGGUAAACUAGAGUGUGAGAGGGGAUAGUGGAAUUUCCGGUGUAGCGGUGAAAUGCGUAGAUAUCGGAAGGAACAUCAGUGGCGAAGGCGACUGUCUGGCUCAACACUGACGCUGAGGUGCGAAAGCGUGGGGAGCAAACAGGAUUAGAAACCCUAGUAGUCC